AGGAGGAACAACCCCAAUGGCGGGGCCAGCUCUGGGCCCUGGAUUCAGCCCCCGCAGUAGCCCCGAAGCUCUCUGUCUGCAGGGCCUGGAGGCUCCAGGGGCGG
rnacentral:pre_miRNA from 1 species